ensembl:lncRNA
UGUGUCUGUGCUUGUGUUUAUAUAUAUAUGUUCUCUCUGUAGAAUCUGGGAGUUCCAUGUGUCUGGCAGGAUUAGGUGGGUGUGAUGUCACAAUGCCUCUCUAAUGCCUGUGUGAUGUGUUUAAAGUGGAGGAUUUGCCAACAGCUGGUUAAUGAGAGGGGAGGGUGGGGGUAGCGUGAACUCUGACAGAAGGGGUCAAAGAGGCCACACGACAGUGGCCAGUUUGAUGCUGCAGAUGUUAUAGCUCGUGCCAGUGAUGGACAAGGACCUCCUUCAAGCAAGACUAUUACCUGAGGAAGACAAAGUCCGACAGCUCACCUUAGAGAGGAGAGAGAGAGGUCAAACUAUCCCGAUGGUGAACUUCGAGGCCUGGAACCCGAACCGGGAACCCUCAGAGAGUCGGGACGUGAGGGUAGUGCAGGGAAUUUUCAUCGCUAGAAGCAGGUCAGCUUUAGAGAUACUCUUGGGCUUAUGGACUAGAUGUGCAAAGGCUGUGAGGUGACCAAGAGGUCAGAAAAGGCCGUGAACUCACAGCGUGUGAGUUCUAAAGAGCCUCGGAGGCAGAGGGGGAGGCGUCGGAGUCGCGGGGAACACUGAAGAAGAUCCAGAAACUGGUGCGGGUGAAGAGAGUGAGCCAGAACAGCACGGAGGAGGGGAAGGCUCUCCCGGACACAAGCGACAAAGGUCUGAUGUCCUGUGUGUAGAAGCAAACGUUCGUUCAGACAAACAAAAACAAAAAAUAAUUAUAAAUACAGCUAGCUAAUUAAAGAACCAGCUAAGAUACUAUCAAAUAAAUAAAACAUAUACAGUAGUUAACACCCAUCCC